rnacentral:rRNA from 1 species
AUUGAACGCUGGCGGCGUGCUUAACACAUGCAAGUCGAUCGGUAACGCGGGGGCAACCCUGGCGACGAGAGGCGGACGGGUGAGGAACGCUUGGGAAUCUGCCUAUCAGCGGGGGACAACACGGGGAAACUCGUGCUAAUACCGCAUACGCUCUACGGAGGAAAGCCGGGGACCGCAAGGCCUGGCACUGAUAGAUGAGCCCAAGCCGGAUUAGCUAGUUGGCGGGGUAACGGCCCACCAAGGCGACGAUCCGUAGCUGGUCUGAGAGGACGAUCAGCCCCACUGGGACUGAGACACGGCCCAGGCUCCUACGGGAGGCAGCAGUGGGGAAUAUUGGACAAUGGGGGAAACCCUGAUCCAGCGACGCCGCGUGGGUGAAGAAGGCCUGCGGGUUGUAAAGCCCUUUCGGUAGGGACGAAAGCUCUCGACCUAACACGUCGGGAGGUUGACUUAACCUACAAAAGAAGCACCGGCUAACUCUGUGCCAGCAGCCGCGGUAACAC